rnacentral:tRNA from 1 species
GCCCAGGUAGUGUAGCGGCCUAUCAUGAUUGCCUGUCACGCAAUCGACACGGAUUCGAAUUCCGUCCUGGGCG